AUUGAACGCUGGCGGGAUGCUUUACACAUGCAGGUCGAACGGUAGAGGGGGCAACCCCUCGAGAGUGGCGAACGGGUGAGUAAUAUAUCGGAACGUGCCCAGUCGUGGGGGAUAACGUAGCGAAAGUUACGCUAAUACCGCAUACGAUCUAAGGAUGAAAGCGGGGGAUCGCAAGACCUCGCGCGAUUGGAGCGGCCGAUAUCAGAUUAGGUAGUUGGUGGGGUAAAGGCUCACCAAGCCAACGAUCUGUAGCUGGUCUGAGAGGACGACCAGCCACACUGGAACUGAGACACGGUCCAGACUCCUACGGGAGGCAGCAGUGGGGAAUUUUGGACAAUGGACGCAAGUCUGAUCCAGCCAUUCCGCGUGCAGGAUGAAGGCCCUCGGGUUGUAAACUGCUUUUGUGCGGAACGAAAAGGUCUCUCUUAAUACGGGGGACUCAUGACGGUACCGUAAGAAUAAGCACCGGCUAACUACGUGCCAGCCGCCGCCGUAAAAC
rnacentral:rRNA from 1 species